GGUAGAAGACACCAAAAAAAAAGCUUCUAACUUUGUUUUAAGCGGUGAAACUCCGUUUUUCUACCU
rnacentral:tRNA from 1 species